GGCCCUACGGGAGGCAGCAGUGGGGAAUAUUGGACAAUGGGGGCAACCCUGAUCCAGCCAUGCCGCGUGUGUGAAGAAGGCCCUCGGGUUGUAAAGCACUUUCAGUGAGGAAGAACGCCUGGUGGUUAAUACCCAUCAGGAAAGACAUCACUCACAGAAGAAGCACCGGCUAACUCCGUGCCAGCAGCCGCGGUAAUACGGAGGGUGCGAGCGUUAAUCGGAAUUACUGGGCGUAAAGCGCGCGUAGGUGGCUUGAUAAGCCGGUUGUGAAAGCCCCGGGCUCAACCUGGGAACGGCAUCCGGAACUGUCAAGCUAGAGUGCAGGAGAGGAAGGUAGAAUUCCCGGUGUAGCGGUGAAAUGCGUAGAGAUCGGGAGGAAUACCAGUGGCGAAGGCGGCCUUCUGGACUGACACUGACGCUGAGGCGCGAAAGCGUGGGGAGCAAACAGGAUUAGAUACCCGUGUAGUCU
rnacentral:rRNA from 1 species